UAGAAAGGUUGGAACAGAUGAUUCUUGAGGCCUCUUCCAACCUGGGAUUUUGGGAUUCCAUGAUCUCGUCCCCAGAAAGGCACAAUCCCCUCUUAGGAUAGCCAAGGGAGCACCCACAAGCUCCUCACUGUGAACUGAUGCAGCUCCGCUCUGUAUCAUCUGUGUUCCAGCACACUGGGAUGGGUCAGCGUGAUUCCAGACCACUUUUAUUUGGGACAGAAAGCUGCUUAAAUAUAAGAUUUGUUAUUUUCACAUUUUAAUGUCAUUUUGAACUGAAAAUAAGGGGUUUAUUUUGCUUUCCUUUUCCCUGCUAAACACAUGGGCCAUCAUCUUCGAGAAGAAAAGCAAAGCCCUCUCUUUCAAGUCUCCCAUCAAUGUCACACAUUGAGAGUCUGCCUGAGGGCAGCUGCAGGCACAGAGCCUGCAGCCCCUACAACUCUUUCUUCUACGCAAUCAAAUCACCUUAUAGAACCCCAUAAAAUCCAAAAGACCCUGUUUUAAACAGCAAAACCUUCCCAAAGGAAGGAUUCUGUGGUCCUGUGCGGAGUCACCCAAAAUUCAGACCCAUCCUUCCCUCCGGCAAAAGCCAAACUUUUCCUUGUGCAAUUCUCAACACAAGUUCAUUUUAGUACCAUAGAAGGGGUCUCAGAACACAACUCUCCAUCCAAUCUCUCUCUCUCCAGGUCAAACAGGUUGCGGUUAACUGUCUUGAGGAUAAAGCACUCACUGAAGAUUCAGUGCUCAUUUUGAAUGAGCAAAACCCAGCAGUUCAUGUGCAGGAAACUAAAGACCAAAGCUAGAAUUCCUGAUACCACCAAAUAUUAAGGCUUCUCUGUAUCACCCAAAAGCAAAACCAGGCAAACAAGCAGGAAAAACCCCACUCUGUAAGUCCCUUCAACACUAAACCUCUAUUUUUCUUGCAGCAAAGCUACUGUGGUGUCAUUAACACACAAAACUCUCCCUUCUAAACCAUAACUGCAACAGACCCAACUAAUGUGGACACAUUUAAAGGCGUGUUUAUGACUAUCUGGAAGACAGAACCAGUGUUAACAGCUCCUCUUCCUCAGACAUAAGCCUUUGCCUACAUUGCUUGGCUUGAUUUCACACAUCCAUGAGUUCAGAGCCUUUCUAUCACAGUUAAGAUAUUCUCUCUUCCCAUCCUGCCCUUCACCAGGCUCAAGUUAUGAGUAUUCACAUGGAAACACAGUGGUUAUCAGCAACAUCUACAACCUGUGGCUGAGCUUAAAUGCAUGCAAGGGUCCACAACACCACAGAAGCCUGUUUUCAUAGGUCAGGUGCAUGAUUCAUAUCUACCAUCUCCUCCCAGGAAAAGGGAAGGUCACAACGGGAAAAGGGAAGGUCACAAUGGAAUCAAAGCGGCAACACAACAAAGGUUUACUGGCAAAAAGACACUGGUUAAAUAAAUUUUAUCCGUAUGUUGAGAAAUGGGCAUGAUUCUAUUUGAAAGCUUUGGAAGGGGUACUGAUGAAAGCACACAUUAAGAUGAACUCUUACAGUGAUCAACCAUUACAGUCAUUUACUCUCAACAGGACUUUCAUGAGACAUAUUUAUAUAGUCAAUAAUUAAAUAGAAAACCAAGGAUGAGUGU